CGCAUCACUGGUGUUCGGGUUGUCAUGCCAAUGGCACUGCCCGGUAGCUAAAUGCGGAAGAGAUAAGUGCUGAAAGCAUCUAAGCACGAAACUUGCCCCGAGAUGAGUUCUCCCUGACCCUUUAAGGGUCCUGAAGGAACGUUGAAGACGACGACGUUGAUAGGCCGGGUGUGUAAGCGCAGCGAUGCGUUGAGCUAACCGGUACUAAUGAACCGUGAGGCUUAACCUUACAACGCCGAAGGUGUUU
rnacentral:rRNA from 1 species